AAUUGGAGGGCAAGUCUGGUGCCAGCAGCCGCGGUAAUUCCAGCUCCAAUAGCGUAUAUUAAAGUUGUUGCAGUUAAAAAGCUCGUAGUUGAAUUUCGGGAUCAAUAUUUCGGUCAUGCCGUUGGUAUGCACUGUUAUCAUUGAUUUCUCACCUUCUAAAGAACCGUAAUGCCAUUAAUUUGGUGUUACGGGGAAUUAGGACUGUUACCUUGAAAAAAUUAGAGUGUUUAAAGCAGGCUCACGCUUGAAUACAUUAGCAUGGAAUAAUGAAAUAGGACAUCCGAUUCUAUUUUGUUGGUUUCUAGGAUCGAUGUAAUGAUUAAUAGGGAUAGUUGGGGGCAUUAGUAUUCAAUUGUCAGAGGUGAAAUUCUUGGAUUUAUUGAAGACUAACUACUGCGAAAGCAUUUGCCAAGGAUGUUUUCAUUAAUCAAGAACGAAAGUUAGGGGAUCGAAGACGAUCAGAUACCGUCGUAGUCUUAACCAUAAACUAUGCCGACUAGGGAUCGGAUGAUGUUAAUUUUUAAUGACUCAUUCGGCGCCUUACGGGAAACCAAAGUGU
rnacentral:rRNA from 1 species